AUGUUCUUCCUCUCUCUCCUCCCCUCUCACUGCAGACAUGAACCACUGGCUGAGAAACAUCCUGAUUCUGACUCUCUGGCUAGAGUGUAAAGGAGAAGACAGAGUGACCCAGCCAGCAGGAGAUGUCAUUGCUGCUGAAGGAGACACAGUUACACUUGGCUGUACUUUUGAGACCAGUGACACAGGUCCAGCUUUGUUCUGGUACAAACAAGAAGUAAAUGAGUCUCCUAAGUACAUGCUGAAAAGUUACUCAAAAACAACAUAUUUUGCUGCAGAGUUCACGAAAGACAGAUUUAAUGCUACAAUCAAGGAUAAGUCAGUUCCUCUGAAGAUCCAGAAGCUUCAGCUGACUGAUUCUGCUGUGUACUACUGUGCUCUGCAUCUGACCUUCUUGGAUGAUGAUGACUGCAGCAUCACUGUCAUUUCUAAAGCUUCUAAAGGAUAA